GACGAACGCUGGCGGCGUGCUUAACACAUGCAAGUCGAACGGAAAGGCCCUGCUUUUGUGGGGUGCUCGAGUGGCGAACGGGUGAGUAAAACGUGAGUAACCUGCCCUUGACUUUGGGAUAACUUCAGGAAACUGGGGCUAAUACCGGAUAGGAGCUCUUGCUGCAUGGUGGGGGUUGGAAAGUUUCGGCGGUUGGGGAUGGACUCGCGGCUUAUCAGCUUGUUGGUGGGGUAGUGGCUUACCAAGGCUUUGACGGGUAGCCGGCCUGAGAGGGUGACCGGCCACAUUGGGACUGAGAUACGGCCCAGACUCCUACGGGAGGCAGCAGUGGGGAAUAUUGCACAAUGGGCGGAAGCCUGAUGCAGCAACGCCGCGUGCGGGAUGACGGCCUUCGGGUUGUAAACCGCUUUCGCCUGUGACGAAGCGUGAGUGACGGUAAUGGGUAAAGAAGCACCGGCUAACUACGUG
rnacentral:rRNA from 1 species